rnacentral:ncRNA from 1 species
UGAUAGAGGUGCGAUGCUCAUCAGUACCCCGUCCAUGCGGAGCAGGAACUCCGGGUGGGGGAAAGGGAAUGUCGCCGAAGCUUGAACCGGUGCCUGCGCCGCUUCCUGCUGGGCCGUCGGAGAAGAUCCGCCGGACUGUCACUUAUGUGGAGCGCUAUCA